AACAAUAUAUAGAAGAUAAUGGUGGUUUGAAGUUUAAACGAGAAGUCCUGAUCAAAUCAAAUCCAACUGAACCGUGAAUAUCGGAGGCUCGAGCGGCCGUGUACGCGCUAUCCCUGCUGCCUAUAAAAGGCAAGACGCAUCAAUCGGGCGGGGGGAGCGAAGGUGGCGCCACACACGCACGCACAAGGCCUGGAGACGGAGGCCCUACCCGCAGCGGGAGGCAGCGGACGCCGCGCCGAUCACGAACGGGCGAACAACUCCGCGGAGCAUCAACAAGAGAUCGAUUGGGAGCUCAAAAAGCAGGCGCCUGCAGAAGGCGCUGGCGGCGGCGACACACGCCAGGGCAGCGAGCAGACAGCAUCCGGCGUCGCGGCAAAGCACGUGUAUCAGCAACGUGCUGCAUCGGGAGAAGCAGACCGGCCGUCCAUACAACAUGAAGAUCCAGGUAUUUGUAUCUCUUUGUGUAGCAAGGAGAAUAGGUUCUUGAUCAAGGCGAACAGGUCAAGGAGAGCCGACACGCACCCAAGGCGAACAGGUCGAGGCUACGAGAGCGCUUUGGAGGCCCUAGCCGCACCGAAGGCAGUGCACGACGCGCCGAUCGCGAACAGGUCCGACAUCAAGGCUAUGUGGCCGGCCACGACGGCGCACGCUCGUCCAACGGGGGCGCCCUACAGGUGCCACGGAGAUAAAGCAGGCAGGAGGCAUGCUGUUGUCUCUAGAGCUUAGCGGUGUAAUUUUACGACCAUCUUUUGGUGUGGUCCUGAUUGCCGUCGCGGGCCGUGCGUCAUGUUUUGGUGCCUGUUCGGUGCGGGACGUCGUUUUCAUCAAUAACUAGCACACGUCCGUCUAUUGGGUUGGUGCGGUCGUGGGUGAUGUCUACAUACUGCACGCUUCAUCAACAAGUGCCACCAUCAAGGCAUGGUAGCCAUGCCCAUGUGGUGUCCACUGAGACACCGCCAUACACGGCGCCAGACGGGUGCCUUCUCCUGCCGCCUCAAGCACAACAAUACACAUGUGCUCAACCUGCAAGGGCAGCAUGCACGACAACGCAUGUUGUAAAGCAUUCGCUCUUCUUCCAUCGUGGUAAGUACAGAUUCCUCUA